GAGAGAGAAGAGAAGAGACUUAGCUUUGGAUGAAGGAAAGCUUUGCUUCUUUCUGCAACUUAUAAUAGUAUUAGCUUCAAAAUAAUUUUUUUCAAGAUGACUACUACUUUGAUUUAAGGAAUCUUUUUUUUUUCUUUCUGGAAAGCUGGAGUCUACUAGAGUGAGGUUAGACGCAUUUUCUUUGGCAGCAUAACUCUAUUUUUAUGGAAGCUAUGCCUGUUCUUGGAGUUGACUCAAAGCUAAGACAUCCAGCUGUUGGGUCAAAGCCUGUUCAUUUUGCCCUACCGAUACCAAAUCUUGGCACCACAGGAUUACAUCAGUAUUCUUCCAGAUCUUUGGAACUUACUGAAGCUGAGGGUUCCAUGCUUGCAUGUCAGCUCACAUUAAAGUCAACCUGUGAUUUUGGGAAGAAUAGAUCUCUCCCAGGAAAAACCAAGGAGACUGAAGAUAGUAAGGAACCCAGCCUAGUUCAGAGAUGAAAGGAUACUAUUGAAUCCUGCUUGGAUGUACCGGCAUUCUGUCCUCCUUCAAAGGAAUAUUGCUGUUUCCUGCUGCAGGUAGGUGUAAUGUUCUUAGUUCUUUUGAAAGGACUUAUUCAAAAGUUCAUAAAGCCCUUAUGUUGAUUCCCCAGCAUUAAGAGUUGGUUAUAAUUUCUUCAUUUUUGGUUUGACUCAAGAGCUGAAAGAACAAAUCACUUAUAAAGGGGUCAUGCAAAUGAAUAAUAAUGUCAUGUCUUUUUAUGGCCCCUCAGUAAAAAAAAAAAAAAAAAAAAAA